rnacentral:rRNA from 1 species
AGCGGUGAAAUGCGUAGAUAUUAGGAGGAACACCAGUGGCGAAGGCGGAUUGCUGGACGACAACUGACGGUGAGGCGCGAAAGCGUGGGGAGCAAACAGGAUUAGAUACCCUGGUAGUCCACGCUGUAAACGAUGAAUACUAGGUGUGCGGGGACUGACCCCCUGCGUGCCGCAGUUAACACAAUAAGUAUUCCACCUGGGGAGUACGAUCGCAAGGUUGAAACUCAAAGGAAUUGACGGGGGCCCGCACAAGCGGAGGAGCAUGUGGUUUAAUUCGAUGAUACGCGAGGAACCUUACCCGAACUUGAACGUAUAUUGAAUAACUUGUGAGAAUAAGUUAGUUAGCAAUAACGAUAUACGAGGUGCUGCAUGGUUGUCGUCAGCUCGUGCCGUGAGGUGUCAGGUUAAGUCCUAUAACGAGCGCAACCCCUGCACAUAGUUACCAGCACGUAUUGGUGGGGACUCUAUGUGGACUGCCGGCGCAAGCUGCGAGGAAGGCGGGGAUGACGUCAAAUCAGCACGGCCCUUACGUUCGGGGCGACACACGUGCUACAAUGGCAGAUACAGAGGGCAGCGACGCAGUGAUGCGGAGCGAAUCUCGAAAAUCUGUCUCAGUUCGGAUCGGAGUCUGCAACCCGACUUCGUGAAGAUGGAUUCGCUAGUAAUCGCAGAUCAGCCAUGCUGCGGUGAAUACGUUCCCGGGCCUUGUACACACCGCCCGUCAAGCCAUGGGAGUCAGCGGUGCUUGAAGACCAUAACCGCGAGGAGUGGUUAAAGGCAAAGCUGGUGACUGGGGCUAAGUCGUAACAAGGUAGCCGUACCGGAAGGUGUGGCUG